rnacentral:misc_RNA from 1 species
GAUGAAGAACGUAGCGAAAUGCGAUAAGUAGUGUGAAUUGCGGAAUUCAGUGAAUCAUCGAAUCUUUGAACGCACAUUGCGCCCUUUGGUAUUCCUUAGGGCAUGCCUGUUCGAGCGUCAUUUAAACCUUCAAGCUCAGCUUGGUGUUGGGUGACUGUCCGCCGCCUCCGGGCGGUCGGACUCGCCUCAAAUUGAUUGGCGGCCGGUACUUUGGCUUCGAGCGCAGCAGAAACGCGAACUCGAGGCCGUCGUCCUGGCUCCCAGAAGCUAUCUUCACAAUUUUGACCUCGGAUCAGGUAGGGAUACCCGCUGAACUUAAGCAUAUCAAUAAGCGGAGGA